rnacentral:tRNA from 1 species
GGGGUUGUGGCUCAGUGGUAGGGCGCUCGCCUAGCAUGUGUGAGGCACUGGGUUUGAUCCCCGGCACCA